AGUCAAUAGAUACCCGGGUAGUCCACGCCGUAAACGAUGAGUACUAGGUGUAGGAGGUAUCGACUCCUUCUGUGCCGCAGUUAAACACAAUAAGUACUCCGCCUGGGAAGUACGGUCGCAAGAUUAAAAACUCAAAGGAAUUGACGGGGGCCCGCACAAGCAGCGGAGCAUGUGGUUUAAUUCGAAGCAACGCGAAGAACCUUACCUAGACUUGACAUCUCCUGAAUAGCGCAGAGAUGCGUGAAGCCCUUCGGGGCAGGAAGACAGGUGGUGCAUGGUUGUCGUCAGCUCGUGUCGUGAGAUGUUGGGUUAAGUCCCGCAACGAGCGCAACCCCUAUUAUUAGUUGCUACCAUUAAGUUGAGCACUCUAAUGAGACUGCCCGGGUUAACCGGGAGGAAGGCGGGGAUGACGUCAAAUCAUCAUGCCCCUUAUGUCUAGGGCUACACACGUGCUACAAUGGUGAGAACAACGAGAUGCAAUACCGCGAGGUGGAGCAAAACUUGAAAACUCAUCUCAGUUCGG
rnacentral:rRNA from 1 species